UACGGGGGGGGUAAGCGUUGUUCGGAAUUACUGGGCGUAAAGGGCUCGUAGGCGGCCAACUAAGUCAGACGUGAAAUCCCUCAGCUUAACUGGGGAACUGCGUCUGAUACUGGAUGGCUUGGAUUUGGGAGAGGGAUGCGGAAUUCCAGGUGUAGCGGUGAAAUGCGUAGAUAUCUGGAGGAACACCGGUGGCGAAGGCGGCAUCCUGGACCAAUAUUGACGCUGAGGAGCGAAAGCCAGGGGAGCAAACGGGG
rnacentral:rRNA from 1 species